rnacentral:lncRNA from 1 species
CCGGUGGGUUAUUGCGAAUCUAUCCAGAAGGGCAGAAUAGGAUUGCUGAGGUGGAACCACUGUUUGACCGCCUGCUGUUUUUCUGGUCAGACAGACGUAACCCUCAUGAGGUGCAACCUGCCUAUGCUGUCAGGUACGCAGUGACGGUGUGGUACUUUGAUGAAACAGAGCGCCGGCAAGCAAUGAAGAAAUAUCGGAAUGAGAUCAUGGAGAGAUCACAGAAGGAGUGACUGUGAGUUUGGCGACUGGCAGCAAAGCAGCAGUGAAACCCCAGCGGGAAGGUAGUGCCUUCUGUCCUGUGAAAAAACCGAACAGAGAUGGUCUGAGAAAGUCUCUGGUUGCCUCCAUUGCUUUACGUGCUGCGCGUAACCCGAGGCAGUUGGCAGGCAGAAUGCAACCGAUACCUUGCCUGUUGUGAGAACACGCCGGCGAAAAAUGUGCGGGCCGAAAUCGUGUUUUUGACUCGGAGAAAAAUUAACCGGUACAACUCUGCGUAUGUGAUUGCUUGGUACCAUACAUGUGGCAGCACUAACAAUUGUUUUUCAGCUACCGACUUACCCGCCUAUCUUCCUACCCUCUCACCCAUUUGUCUACCUACCGACCAACCGACCUACCUAUCUUAGAUGCUAGUGACUUGCCCACCUAUCUAUGUACCGACUGACUGACUGACCGACCUAUCUACCUACUGACCUAUCCACCUAUCUACAUGCUUCCCUACAUCGGCACCUACCUACCUGCCAACUUGCCAACGUACCCAUCUACCUACCCAUAUACUAACGCAUCUACCCACCUACCUUGACAUCGACCCACCCCAUAACCAACCUGCCCAAGCACACAACUCGCCCACCUUUUCUCUAAUCAAAUCGCUACUUAAAAAUUCUCCAGUACUACUAACGUAAGCUUCAAAGACUGGAGCAUCACGGGGUGCCUUAUUUGCAGAAUGUUGUCUAGGCGAGUAUAUGCCAGAAAUUAACUCGGAUCGAAUGCGAAAGUGGCAAGCAAAAGUUGCCGGAAAUAUCUCUGUCGGAAAAUGUAUGGAGCAGUUGUGCAUGACUCUGGUGGCCGUUGUCAAUUGUAGAGUUGCGACAAAAGAUCGUAUAGUGCCGGAGGCUAUACGAUCUUUGGUUGCGACUGAGAUAAUGACUGUGAUGUAUCCUACAGGACUAUUAUUACGCUAUGAGUAUAUCAGUGUUAGUAACAUAUCCGAUGAUAACCAGAAAUCAACCUAUCUACUAGGCAUGAGAGACAGGCAGCUCUAGCCAAUUGUUGUGAUAUCACAUUGUAUAAAGCGGUGCUAAACGGGCAACAAAUGCCGCAAAGUUGAGAAUGUGGCACGUACGAACGCGUAAUUGGCCUAGCUUGACUAUCUUAGCAACAAUAUUUUUUUUUGGGGGGGGGGAUUAGCUCUCUCAUAUAGAUAAGCCUUUUUUACAAGGUUGUUGAUUGGGUGAGAAGCGAUUGCCUCUCUAUGUGCGAUGUAUUAUGGUAAAUCACAGAUGUUAAUAUUAUAAAAGUCUAAAAGGCAAGAGAAAAAUUUCAACUUGUGAAUGGUUGAUGUUUUUUAAAGCACGAUGAAUCGGGACUGUGUGUUUACAGAAAUUUUGUGUGUAAAAAUAAGGCUUUACCUCAAAAUAUUAAAUAUAGUCACAAAAGAAUUGGAAUUGUAAUUUUGUUCAAUUAGAUUCCUUGCAAUAUGUACAUUACACUAGGCUAAAUUGUAGACUUACAAUGAAAUAUAGUAGGAUUCAUCAUUGUCAUUGAUGUUAUCACGUAGUUGAUAUUGGUCCUGGACACGGAAGUUACGACUAAGACAAACAAUGCAACCAAUUACCGUUCUGACAACGGCCCCCUGAAUCGCAAGCUUUAACCAAAUCAACAGUAGAUUCUAACGGAUGUUAUAGUACUGCUUAAAUGUAGUGACAUUUUGUUUAAAGUAUUUAUCAUGUUAUGCAAUUUAUUUUCUAAUAGCUACAUGGUUGUGAGAAAGUGAUGCGUCUUUAUUUAGCAACUUGAAGAAUUCCUUUAUUUUAUUGUGAUACCUGUGUUGCAUUAGAUAUGUUACUGGUAUGACUAGUACACCAAAUCAAAUGUCAUCUACCCAUAUGUAAAUCCAUGAGCUAAUUUGGCGAUGAUAACUGAUAUGUGCAUCGAUGCUUGUUGACAAACAACCUCAAUGUACACCCGUCUAUAAAAGACUUAUGGGGUUCCCUCCCUUUGGGUGACCCUUAUAUAUCGAUUUUACUCUAAUUGGGAUAACUUUUAAGUGAUCAACCCCAUUUCCAUUGUGGAGGUUCUGCUCACAGGUUGACCUGCAUUGGACCUGCACCAUGGGGCAGGCUUGAUAUAUACUGGACAGAUAUAAUUCAAGACCCAUCUAGAAAGCUGUUUUGAUGUGCUGCUGUCACUACUAUUUUUAUUAGUAUUUUCUGAAAACCCAUAAAAUAGACUCGUGUGUGAAUAGGAAGCAGUCGGCGGUGAUUUGACUCUUAAAAGCCUGACCUAGCUUUCAUUUAUUAUUAGUGUUACCUCGAGAAUUCAAGGACUUGUGGUGUCUUUAUUCAGUUUGUAAUGUAACCAUAUAUAUAUAUAUAUAUAUAUAUAUAUAUAUCCAAUCUUGCUUGAAUUUGAUCCAGAAAAGGUCCGGGGAGAGAAACCAUCACUAUGAUGACCUUUUUGGAAAGAACUUGAAAAUCCACUUGACCAUUAUGAGUGUUGAUGACUGUUAUGAUUUACUGCUAUAUACUGCUACUAUUACUGCUUAUGCCUUUAAUUACUGGUUUGUCAUAUCUUGAGAUGGCAACGAUCAGAGCUUUUAUAAUCCAGUCUGUAUUGCUUUAAUGUGUAAAAUGCAGCAUCAAUGUAAAUAUGUUAUUCCAUGGACUAUUUAACCCUUUAUCUCUCUCGUUAAUGUCGACAUUGCAUGGCUCAUAAAGUGAGAACCUUUUUCUGUCGGCUGUACUUUACUGAAAGAGGUGCUUUAAACUUUCUUUUUACUGAUAUUCAAAGUUUAACUUGUAGUGAAUUCUUUCAUCUUUAAAAGGGUUCAAACUUCCCAACAAUGAAAUUUCACUGGAGAGUUGUCCUUGUAUAUUGGUAAAAAGAACGUUAUAUGCAUCUUUUAAUAAAACAACAGGAAAGGUUCUUGCUUGGGGAAUCACAGCGGAUUAAGAGUGACAUCUUUUAAAAAGCUCUGUAUUAACAUGAAUGAUAUGGGGGUGAUAAUUGAAACAAAGAAUACUUGCUUGCUAUAUUCCCGUUUGUCUCGCAAUGGGCGGUCAACAAGAAAGUUGGAGAACAUGACGUUUCGUGUGCUACUGCAACACUUCGUUAGGUGAUGCGGCGACGUUGCGAGUGAGGGUAUAUAUACCCCUCGGUUGGAUUCAGCGGUACCCUUGAGCGGUACGACUGCUGGACUGGCCGUGCUGUGAUUGGCUGUCUGGCGCUUGCUGUUUCCUGCGCAGUGACCGGCCGGCUGGCGCCUGCAGGUUCCCGCAUCGUAAUCGGCUGGCUGGCGUUGGCUGUAACCUGCACUGUUGUGGGUCGGACGGCGUGUGCUGCCGCAAGGUGAGAGUCAUGGCGGCGUAUCGUUGUCAUCCAGAAAUUGGAGAUAUCUAACCCGUUGUCUCUGUUAAAGUUGUUGGGGGCGGAGACGAAUGUUAAUGGCUUCUUUCACCCUCUGCGUGUACCAGUGUCGCUCUUGGGCGAGGCACUGUAUCCCUUCCCAGUCAGGUUGGUGCUGGUUCUCCCAUGCGUGUUCGGCCACUGCUGAGCUGUCGGUUCGAAGCAGCCUGACAUCCCUCUUGUGUUCCAUAAUCCUUUCCGCUAUAGGUCGGACUGUUUCACCGAUAUAGGAUCCGUCACACCCUUGGCAAGGGAUGUUAUACACCAUGCCGUCACGUCUGUGUUCAGGAACUGGAUCCGUUGGGCGUACUAGCUGUUUGCGCAGUGUAGAGUCUGAGCGGAAAACGGUCCGAACACCAUGGUUCUCUAGGCGGCGUUUGAGCUGCUGGGAGAUCCCGUCUAUGAAGGGUAAGACCGUGAACGUCUUAUAAUCCUUCGGUUCCUUGGGUUGUGAAGUUUUCUUGGUUGAGGUAUGGAUGAAACGGCGUGGGUACCCGUUCUUACCUAGGGCAUUCCGGACGUGUGCCCGCUCAUUGUUUGUAUGUUGUGGGCUGGUGACUAUGCGUUCCGCUCUGUCAAAAAGACAUUUCACUAGGCCUCUCUUCACAGAAAUGGGGUGAUGUGAAUCAAACGGUAUGUAUUGGUCUGUGUGCUUGGGCUUCCUGUAGGCUGAGGUGGAGAGCCUGCCGUUUUCAUGUCUGUGCACUAGUGUGUCCAGGAAAGCUAUCUUCCCUUCACAUUCUGCCUCCGCUGUGAACUGGAUGGAUUGUUGGCGGCUGUUCAUGUGUUUGAGCAGGUUCUCCGCUUCUGCAUUAGGGACUAUGAUAAACGUGUCAUCAACGUAUCUCUUCCAUACCCGCGGUUUGCAAGAGUGGGACAGGUGAGUAGAGCUUCCUGUUCAAAACUCUCCAUGUACAAGUUGGCCACGAUGGCCGAAACCGGGCUGCCCAUGGCUGCCCCCUCCGUCUGCUCGUAGUACGAGCCGUUAUAGAGGAAGUAUGUAGACCGUAGGACGAACUCGAGGAGCUUGGUGACUUGCUCAGGAGAGAGAGCGGUGCGGGCUGUUAGGCUGUUGUCCGCCUGCAUGCGAUGUAGGGCCGUCUGGCAUGCGCCCUCUAUUGGUACGUUAGUGAAAAGAGAUACUACGUCGAACGAUAUCAUAGUUUCACUCUCACAGAUAGUUUGCUCUGCUAUGUACUCUGCAAACCCACUGGAGUUAGGCACUGUAUGCUCACUGGCACCCGUGAGUGGUGGAAAAAUCUCUGCUAGGUGCUUGGAGAGAUGGUAUGCAAACGAGCCUACGCAUGACACUAUGUGGCGUAGUGGUGUUGUGGGUUUAUGGAUCUUUGGUAAUCCGUAUAUCCUGGGUGGUUGCUUCUGCGUUGGCCUCAAUUUCUGAUACGUCGACUCAUCUAUUGCGUUUUUCUUCUUCAGGGCUAGCAACAUGCUAGUGAGUUUGCGGUACAUACUGUCUGUGGGAUCUUUCUUCAGCUUACGAUAUGGGCCAGUGUUCAGUAGGUCACUCAUUUUGUCAUGGUAUGUAGUUGUAUCUAGGAUUACCGUAGCCCGGCCCUUGUCUGCUGAUAGAAUACUUGCUUGAUAGGAUGUUUGUUACGUGUGAAAAACAAGCCGAUAUCCGCACUUACGAGAUGGUCGUGUAAAUGUGCUUGAUGCUAUGCAAUAUUUAGAGAUUCGUUGUAUUGCUGUAGCGUGUGUCAUCAGUUCAUGGGCUGUAGUAGCAUCAGAUGGCAUCAGAUGGCAUCAGAUGGCAUCAGAUGGCAUCAGAUGGCAUCAGAUGGCAUCAGAUGGCAUCUGCUCAUGUUCUGUGCGUGGUGCUAAAUAUUUUGAAGCCACUGCCUGCAUGUCAGAACCAGUGGUAUGUUAUAGGAACAGGGUCUGGCAUUUCAGUUGCUGCUGGUACAUCUAAGUUCCAAUUAGACCGCACGGUUGAUCCGUGUUUGUGCGGGCAAAUUAUUGCUAACUAUAGCAAGAUGUCUUGCAAGCCGACUGUUAAAACAGCCCACUCAAGCCGUGUUAAUCAUCGGUAGGUGGUGUUCUGGGCCAUGCGUGAGCAUCUAAAUUCCAGAACUUGUCCCUUUAAUCAAUGCAUUGGUUACCAGGAAUUAAGGGAGCUGAUUGUCAGAAACGUUGUAACUGACGUGUGUUAUGACGACUGUCAUGAAUCCAAGCUGUUAUAGCUUUUGCACGUGAAGUGUUCUGUGGAAGUUACAACAUCCCAGACUUACGGUAGCUGCUAGUAGUUCGUGUUUCUGACAAGGGCCCCUGAUGUUUGCUUAAUCCAGUAAUGUCAUUGUUUUGUAAGCGUGGCUUGUUAUGUUAGACAGUGCUAUUGGAAGAAGUGACUUUGUAAUCUGGCCCAAAAUCUUUCUUAAUGUGUUGAAUUCGGGUCUUUAAUGGUGAAAACUACUUUUAAAGUCGAGUUGGUGCAUAUACGUUUUAAACCUUCAUGCAAGCAUCAGCAGUGUGUCAACUGUGUAAUUAUAGUGAUCAAUGUUAUGUGUAAGAUAUUUAACAAUGCAAGAUUCUCAAAUGCAAGCACGAGUCACGUAAGAUUCGUGAAUGCAGGCGCUGUUUAUUCAUCCAGCAUUCACGCGAGAUUGACUUGAUCAGGCAACAAUUGCUGCGAGAGUCGUCCAUGUGAGCAGUGAUCAUCAGUUUAAAGGGAUACUUUCCCCUAGAAUUUUAGAGUAUGUUAUGAGAGUAAAUGCAUAAAUAAUAGCAUAUACCUAAAAAUUUCGAUAAUUAUGCAUUCACGUUUGUCAUAAAACAACAUUGAAUUUCGAAAUCUUAAUUUUUUGGGCGCUGACAUGACACCCGUGAUUGUGCUGCCACCCUGAAAAAGUUGCGCAUUAGCCAAUUUAUUUUGCACGUUACAGACCGGGGGCUAAUUACAAAAGUGCAAUUAUAUUUAUACCUAAAUGCUAUUUAACCAAACAAUAUUUAUUUCAGGACAAAUUCGUCCAUAUUAUAACUGAAACUAAGUGUCGUUUUUAAGUUAUCGCAAU